rnacentral:rRNA from 1 species
GACGGAGGGGGCUAGCGUUGUUCGGAAUGACUGGGCGUAAAGGGCGCGUAGGCGGUUUGGUAAGUGAGGCGUGAAAGCCCUGGGCUUAACCCAGGAGGUGCGUUUCAUACUGCCAGACUUGAGUACGAGAGAGGAAAGCGGAAUUCCUAGUGUAGAGGUGAAAUUCGUAGAUAUUAGGAAGAACACCAGAGGCGAAGGCGGCUUUCUGGCUCGUAACUGACGCUGAGGCGCGAAAGCGUGGGGAGCAAACAGG